rnacentral:rRNA from 1 species
GAUGAACGCUGGCGGCGUGCCUAAUACAUGCAAGUCGAGCGAACAGACGAGGAGCUUGCUCCUCUGACGUUAGCGGCGGACGGGUGAGUAACACGUGGAUAACCUACCUAUAAGACUGGGAUAACUUCGGGAAACCGGAGCUAAUACCGGAUAAUAUAUUGAACCGCAUGGUUCAAUAGUGAAAGACGGUUUUGCUGUCACUUAUAGAUGGAUCCGCGCCGCAUUAGCUUGUUGGUAAGGUAACGGCUUACCAAGGCAACGAUGCGUAGCCGACCUGAGAGGAGGGAGGGCCCAAAGGGGAAGAGAACAGGCCAGGUACUCAUAAGGGAGGCGCAAGGAGGGAUUAUCAGGAAAGGGGAGAAAGUAAGACGGAGAGGCGCCGCGAGAAGGAGAAGGGUCUACGAAUGUAAAAACUUUGUUAUUGGGAAAGAAAAAAUGUGAAAGAACCAAUGCGCGUAGGAAGGGUACAUAAUAAAAAAACCAAGCCUAAUGAAGGC